rnacentral:lncRNA from 1 species
GGGUAGGCUAGUUGCAUUUCUUUUUAAAAUUUGAGUCCCUGGAGCUAAGACCAGAGCCACAUGUUGACAGGGGAGGGCACGCCUCUGAGAGCAGCCUUCCUCCAGGCUCCUAGAAUGCUGAUUCAUCUUCUUGUGCAGUGAAGACCUUUCCAGAGAGAAGGGGAGGGAAGGGGAGGGAAGGGGAAAGAAGAGAAGGGAAGGCAAGGGAAGGGGAAUUCUUGCUAUCCACUAAGCACUCAGUAUGUGUCAGGCUGUAUAUAUGUUAUUUCAUUUAUUGCUGACCAGAAUCCUGUGGGGGUAGAUGCUAUUAUCAGCCCUUCCCUGCAGACGAGGUGAACAGUUUGAGAGGUGGAGGAAAGUUUUCACAUUGGUACAGUGGAUAUUGAAGAAUCUCAUUUGGUAGGUGAUAGAAUGUAGGGUAGAUGUCUACGUUGAGAUACUCUCUCUCAGGACCCUCAUCUUGCCUCAUCACACAGAAGGCUAGAAGAAAGAAAUAUGGAAACCCUGAUGUCAGGGCAAAGGCCCCGGGACCCUCCUGAGAAAGUCUGCAGAGGAAACAGGACACAGAGCGGACCACGGCGGCAGGAACGUCAGCUGAGCUCCGAGAGGCUGGAAGCACGGAGCGGGAAGUGGCACUUCCCCUGCGUUUUUAUGUUUAGCUGGGGUUUAAUUAAUAACCGGCAAACAAGUCUAUAAUUAACUCGGUUUCCCUUUUGGCCAGCCAAGGGAAUAAUAAUAAAGCUGCUUUUUAAGUCCUCCGUGGUGCUGGA